rnacentral:rRNA from 1 species
UACAGAGGGUGCAAGCGUUGUUCGGAAUUAUUGGGCGUAAAGGGCGCGUAGGCGGUGCGGUAAGUCUGCAGUGAAAUCUCUGGGCUCAACUCAGAGUCUGCUGUAGAAACUGCCGUGCUUGAGUAUGGGAGAGGUGAGUGGAAUUCCGGUGUAGCGGUGAAAUGCGUAGAUAUCGGGAAGGAACACCUGUGGCGAAAGCGGCUCACUGGACCACUACUGA